rnacentral:lncRNA from 1 species
ACAUUUCCACGCCCAUGGGGUCCUAUCUCACACACAACACACACAUCACACACAUUUCCACGCCCAUGAGGGUCCUAUCUCCCACACACACACACAUUUCCACGCCCAUGAGGGUCUAUCUCACACACACACUACACACACACACACACAUUUCCACGCCAGCUGGGUCCUAUCUCUACACACACACACACACAUUUCCACGCCCAUGAGGUCCUAUCUCACACAACACACACACACACACACAUUCACCCAUGAGGGUCCUAUCUCACACACACACACACAUUUCCACACCCAUGAGGUCCUAUCUCACACACACACACCAUUUCCACGCCCAUGAGGGUCCUAUCUCUACCCACACACACACACACAUUUCCACGCCCAUGAGGGUCCUAUCCACAACACACACAUUUCCACGCCCAUGGGGUCCUAUCUCACACACCACACACCACAUUUCCAAGCCCAUUGGCCAUGAGGUCCUAUCCUCAACACACACAAUUCCCCGCCAUGAGGGUCCUAUCUCACACACACACACACACACUUCCACGCCCAUGAGGGUCCUAUCUCACACACACACACACACACACACAUUUCCACGCCCAUGAGGGUCCUAUCUCACACACACACACAUUUCCACGCCCAUGAGGGUCCUAUCUCACACAACACUACACAACUCCUUCCACAUGAGGUACCUACUCCACCACACACACACACACACAUUUCCACACCCAUGAGGGUCCGAUCUCACACACACCACAUUCACACACCAUGAGGGGUCCUAUUCUCACACCACCCACACCCACACAUUUCCACGCCCAUGAGGGUCCUAUCUCACACACACAACACACCAUUUCCACGCCCAUGAGGGUCCUAUCUCACACACCACAACAACCCAACACACACCAUGUCCAGCCCAUGAGGGUCCAUCUCACACACACACACACAUUCACCCCAUGAGGGUCCUAUCCACACACACACCACACACUACACACACAUUCACGCACCAUGAGGGCCAUCUCAC